rnacentral:rRNA from 1 species
GGUUAAGCGACUAAGCGUACACGGUGGAUGCCCUGGCAGUCAGAGGCGAUGAAGGACGUGCUAAUCUGCGAUAAGCGUCGGUGAGGUGAUAUGAACCGUUAUAACCGGCGAUUUCCGAAUGGGGAAACCCAGUGUGUUUCGACACACUAUCAUUAACUGAAUCCAUAGGUUAAUGAGGCGAACCGGGGGAACUGAAACAUCUAAGUACCCCGAGGAAAAGAAAUCAACCGAGAUUCCCCCAGUAGCGGCGAGCGAACGGGGAGGAGCCCAGAGCCUGAAUCAGUGUGUGUGUUAGUGGAAGCGUCUGGAAAGGCGCGCGAUACAGGGUGACAGCCCCGUACACAAAAAUGCACAUACUGUGAGCUCGAUGAGUAGGGCGGGACACGUGGUAUCCUGUCUGAAUAUGGGGGGACCAUCCUCCAAGGCUAAAUACUCCUGACUGACCGAUAGUGAACCAGUACCGU